UGUCCACGUUAGCCGUCUCAAAGGACUGUGGGCCAUGCCGCUCCCUGUCCUGGGGUCUCUCCGCCUGCCUAGAUUCCCAGGGCCAGGGUGCCAGUGACCCUGGGGAAAGAGUCCCUUCAACCUGUGACACUCACAAACACCUCGAUUCUUUCCUCCCUUCUUUCUGCCCUGACUCCUCUUCCUCUCCAAAACAAACAUCGAUGGAACAUCUAUUACGUGUCAUCUGUCUUGGGUGGCACAAUACAGGGAUUAGCCCAGGCGGGAAAGGACUGCAGGGGGAGACUGGUGGGGCGACAGCAGCAAUGCAACAGUUUGAACUAGAAGUAGCAGGUGGGGUGGAGGAGAGGCGGGUGCACGGGAGACGCCAGGGCUUGGAGAUUGACUGGAAGAGGGCUGCGGGGAAAGAAGGGACCGAGGCUGCCUUAGAAGUUUCGGGGGUGGAGUGCCAGGGAGGGGUCGGGAGUCAUUCCCGGGGUCUCUCCUGCCUGCUCACAGCCAGAGCUGGGUGCGUCAAGGACUCAGAAGCAAGCACUCCAUCUCGGGGUAACAUGAUCCUGUAACGCAGGGCUCCUCUGAUGUGGGCUGCUUGCCUUUUACAGCAUUAGGGGAGAGCAACAUUUCAUGGAAAAUUCAAUAAAUCCCCCUGUACAGCCAGACGUCUGUAAACAAUGGCUUCCAAAUUCAAUCAGGCUGGGGACCCGCAGCAGCAUUUAUGAGCUCUAACGUGGAAUAUUAUAUAGGGGAGUGAGUGGCAGGGGGCUGGGGGAAGGGACUUCCUGGAAGAAGAAAGCUCCUGUGUGGCUCCUGCUUUCGGAUGCUCAGAGCGGCGUGAUUCUCCAGGUAGACGUCCAGGCGCGGGAACUCCCGGGCUGGGCCCGGGGCCGCUGAGCCCAGGCUCUGCACUUGGAGAGGGCAAGGGUCUCAGCCUUUGCAAGUGUCUGAGAUGAGGCCGCAGGGUCACAACCACCAAGGCUGAGAGGGAGCUCCCCCGUUCCUCCAGCAACCUGCGGGCACCGCCCAUCGGAGAUGCGCAUGCGCAGUCGCGAGGUGCUUAUUGCUUUGUCCUUUGCGAAGGCCCCACUGCUGCAAGCCUCCUUUCUCCUUCUUCUUUUUUUAAUUUAUUUUUUAUUUUUUUUUUUGCCUUUUCUGGGGCCGCUCCCGCAGCAUAUAGAGGUUCCCAGGCCAGGAGUCGAAUCGGAGCUACAGCUGCCUGCCUACACCAGAGCCACAGCAACGCGGGAUCCGAGCCGCGUCGCGACCUACACCACAGCUCAUGGCAACACCGGAUCCUUAACCCAGGGAGCGAGGCCAGGGAUCGACCCUGCAACCUCAUGGUUCCUAAUCGGAUUCGCUAACCGCUGAGCCACGAUGGGAACUCCAAGCCUCCUUUCUAUGAACCUGCCGCCUGGCCUGGCCAUGAUCUUCAGAGAAGGAGCCCCUCUGUCUCUCAGACUGCCCUUCACUUAGUGCAGGAGGAGGCAGGGCAAGGACAGAACUAGGGCCUGGAGACGUUUUCCGAUGAGAGGCUCAGCCCUCCCCGACUGUCUAGGCCGCCCCAGGUGUCUCCUCUCCUUUGCCCUCCUGACACCUCCAUACCGGCCAACUCUCCCAGCCUCCGGCUCCUCUACAGCUGCUGCCUUCCAACCAUCUGGCAGGCCUUCUCCAGCAAACCCAUGUGGGGCGUUAUGGGGCAGAGGAAACAGCAAAACUUCUGGGUUCAAAUCCAGUUCUUGUCCGUCACCAGCUGGGGAUCUUGGAUAAGCCACUGCCUCCGCUGACUCUCAGGGCCCUGAUGUGUCCGGGGGAAUAAUAUUACCUGCCUUGCAGAGUCCCUGGGAGGAUGGGAUUGGACAGUGAAUGGCAAGGGCCUGGUGUCCUGGGGUGAAAUCAGCCUGCACGAAACGCUAGCUUCCUUCUCCAGGUUUCUCCCUCUCUGCUCAGACCUCCCGCUGAUAAAGCUUCGGUGAUUCACCAGACACUGCCCUCCCUCCAGCCAAAGGUACUGGGUGACCCAUCAGCUCUUGGCUUGUGUCCCGUAUUCCUCCCAGCCCUGCUUUGUGCUCCCUGCGGGCCUGACUGGAAUCCAAUCAGGAUCAGAAUCCAAGAUCACGAUCAGCCCUGGCUACACUGAGGGCACAGGUGAGCGGUGGAGGCGCCUCUGGGGUGUCUUUCUUAGCGACCUGGAAUGGAAGCUUCAGGAGGGCAGAGGGUUUUCAUCCGCUUUGUUUAUGGCUCUGUUCCCAGUGUCUAGAGCCGUGCUUGACCCUUGGUACCUGUUCAAUAAGCACUUCUGGAAUGAAUUAAUUACUCCAGCUUCUCUUGCCACUUUCCUGUGGUUUUUCUCGGGUCCCAGAGGGAGAACAGAGAGUCUGCCUUCCAGAAAAACAAACCACAAACCCGCCUGAAGUCAGGAAUACUUUCUUCCCUCUAAAUGUCCUUGGAACGCUGACCAGGCUUCCCCCACUGGAGGAGGCAGCAGAAUCACUGCCAGCAAGGAUUCUCCUUGCCACCCACAGCUAGAAACGUGAGUCUGGGGAGCGUGAGGGGAGGAGGGUGGUUCCGGCAGGCAAGGGUUUAUGGAGGCUUUGGGUUGGUCUGCAUCCAGUCUUUGAAGAUAGUAGAAACCCAACUUUUGUGAAUGUGAACUGGAUACAUAGACCCCCUCCCUUUGCAGAGGACCAGUCCAGGAAGCCCCCUGCCCCCAGUCAAUCUGAAACACAGGGCAAAAGGGAAAAAAAGGUUGGCUAACACCAGAGCAACCCUACGUAGCAUUUUAAAGGAUGCAUCUAUCCUGUGCCAGGCUCUGUGCUUAGCCUAGCACUUCAUGCGUCAACUCAUUUAAACCUCAGAUCAGCCUAUGUGGAAAGUACUAGCAUUAGCCCCAUUCCCCCGCCCCCCUUUUUGGCCACCCCACGGCAUAUGGAGUUCCCAGCCAGGCAUCAGAUCUGAGCUGCAGUUUUGAACUAUACGAACAGGACGGACCCUAGGUCUGAGCUACGAACCAGGACUUUCUGCGGCUUCAGAGAAAGAUGAUGGAGAGCAGACCUGGGCUUGAAUGGUCCUGGGGCCCUGGCAGAGACCAGGCAUUCGCCAUCUGCUGCAGCUCCAUCCUCCACCGCACCCUCUCCAAGUUACAGUGGGCAACUGAGAUGUGUGCGAGCGGUUAUCCCUCUGGGCUGGCCCUCCUGCUGCUGGGCUCUCCCUGGGGGAGAGCAAGAAGGUGGGAUGGGGCCCGCGGAGAGCUGCUCCCUGACCCCCACUCUGGAUCCGAGUGAGUGGGAUGCUCUGUGGCCCAGCUGGGACCCGUUCCAGCCACCUGGGCAUACUUGCAAGAGCCCCCCACCAGUCUGAGGCUUGAGAUGUGCUGCUUGCUCCAUGGCUUCCAACUGCCCAGUAAUCCCACCCCUCUGGAGGAUCGGAGCCAGGGUGGACCUUUUGGUUUCCAUUUGGCCGGGUGGGGGAGGGUGUCUAAGGAGACCAGUCCCAGGGGUGCGAUCUCGCCCCACAACCAGAUACCCAGCUUCGGGGGCUCUGGGAUUUACUCCUGACACAAAAAUCCUUCGUCCCCCUCCAAUGUCCAACCUGUGAUGGCAAGUCCCCCGCACGCCCCAGCCGCGUACCCGCGUGCACGCACACUCAGCACACUCAGCUUCUGCGUUGACGGCUGCGGCUAGAUGGGCCUGUGCUCCGGCCAGCUUUCCAGCUCUCGCUCCCCCCUCUCUCUCAACUCCCCCCUCCCUCCCUCUCUCAUUCUCCCGGCUAGCUGCUGUAAGGAUCAGUCCCCAAAGAAAAAUGCCCAAUUUGUCAUGUCAUGUCCAGCUGUUAACCUCCCGUCGGUAAGCCAUGGGGAAGACUUACUUUCUCCUAUUUAUUUAUUUGCCACUUGGACAAUAGCCGGCCCCAGGCCUGCUGAGUUCUCCAUAAUAAAGCCACCAACGAUCUCCCCCAUCACCCCUCCCCUCCCCCCACCCCCAUGUCCACAACACUGGCCAACCUGCAGGUGUCACUGGGCAUUAACCCCGGGCUUCACUCUGGCUCUGCUGAACCAGAGGGAAGGGGGAGGGGGUGGCGCGCGUAGGUGGGGGGUCUGACGGGGAGGUCUCUGCACAAAGAGGAAGGCCUGGGGAUGGGCUGGCUCAUAACCAUCCCUCCGGAAAGCUCACUGUGCUGAGGCUGGGGGAGGGAGGGAGGGAUCCGCCAAAUAAUGCAGCUCCUUCUUCCCAGCCUCCCAGCGGUCUCCGGGCGGAGCCUGGGCCGGCGGGUGGCAGGCACCCGGGCUCACCGCACCUAGCAACACUGCCGAGAGACGGGGCUCUGCAGGAAUGAGGCCCAGUGCAGCGGCCUAGGGCGGCCCCGGAGGGGCUGGGGCAGGGCGGGGAGGCUCAGCCCCUCCAGACCCGGUGCCCUCCUUUCGCCAGCACUCCCUCGCUCCUCUCUCCAGGCUCCUUUGGCCCAGCCUGAUCGGCCUGAUUGGCUCAGGUGGAAGGGCUAGCCAUGCCCCCCAGGCUGGGCUCCCCUUUCUCCGGGGAUGGGUGAGAGGUGGGGAGGGGGGAUGGGCCACUACUCUUCAGACGGCGGCCCUUCCUUCUGUUCAGAUGUCAGAGUGAGUUACAGAUCGCACCGAAGUGCAGCCCCCCCUCCCCCCCGUGGCCUUUCAUCUGGGGCCCCGCCCUCGGUCGUCAAUAACGUCAUCUGCUCUUCCCGGGACCCUCGCUCCCCCUGGGCACAAGCUGAGGACAGGAGAGCUCGGGUUAGGAUGAGCUGGGAUUGCGCUCCCAAGCUGUCCCUGCACUGGCCCCCUACUCCUUGGUGACCCCUCCUCCACUUCCAGCAUCCUCCCCAUCCCAGAGGACAACCUAAAGUACAGAGGGGCUCGCAGGGCAUUUGCCAAAGCGGGUCGUGGGGGGUCAGUGUGUAACCCGCCAUGGACGGUGGCCUCACCAAGGCCAUGACCUUAAGCUAGUGGGCACCCAGAUGCGGAUGAAAGACUCUGGCCAGCUCCUGCUCACUGAACUUCCUUGUGCAUCUUUGUUAGCUGUCUGCUCCGCAGUAGGCGCGCACUGUUCGCUGAAUCAGAAUGGAAAGAACUGGGCAAAGGAAAAAUGAAAGUUACUGCAAAGGUGCCUCAAGGGUCCACGGGGGUCUGCACGGGUUCCCACUCUGUUCUUGGCCCGGUGCUGCCUGCCACCCAUCAUUUGCACAGAGAAGAAGCUGGAGGACCAGAGUGUGGUGGUCCAAGACCACGGAGGCCAGGCAGAAACAGGGUUAGGCAGCUUAGUCAGGUCAGUUGGGUGGGUUCAGCCCACACCGCUCUGUCCCGGUGGCCACAGCGAGGGAAGGGAGGGCCAUGCUUCACCCGGGGACAUCAAAGGCUGCAAUUUUUCUCAAGAGGAACGUCUCAAGAUUUCAUUUUAUAAAAUGACCCAUAUCCAGGAGACACGUGGUGAGACGGCCGCCAACUGUUACAAUGUUGCAGAGCAAGGCGACCAGAACGGGAAGGCAUCUGAGCAGGAUGGAGAUGCUCAGAUCACCAUUCAGUGUGAGAAGCACAUGGGACCCUCUGGAGCUCUUCCACGGGGCCCUGGAAUGCCCUGGAAAACAGUGGCUUCCAGCAGGGGCUUGGCGGUGACCUGUCCAGCACAGAAAGGGGGACGCUUUGGUGAUGGGCAGGAGUCGGAGCUAUGAAAUAGGUCUCCGAAAGCCUUUUUUCCUUUUUUUAAUGAUUUUUAUUUUUUCCAUGAUAGUUGAUUUACGGUGCUCUGUCAAUUUCUACCGCACAGCAAAGUGACCCAGUCAUACAUAUAUAUACAUAUUCUUUUUCUCUGAGAGCCUUCCAGUGAUGCUCAGAAGUUAGGAUUCUCCCGAUUCAAUCUAGGAGACAGUGUGCACAGAGGAAAAAAAAUCCACACAACUGGGUGACCUGCCUGGAACCCCAGCUCAGCUGGUUACUCGCUGUGCAACUUUGGGUAAGUUCCUUGACUUCUCUGAAGUUCAAGUUCCUCUCACAUAGAAGGAAACACGUAAGGUGA
ensembl:lncRNA